ensembl:lncRNA
GGCAAGGGAGGGGUUUCUCUAGCACCAAGCAGUUCUCCGGACACCAGCUGGAUGUCCCGUAAUUCAGCUCAAUUCUGACACUCUCUCUCCUAAGGUAGCAUCACGUCCCACAGGUUAAGGGCUCAGUCCCCUAAGAUCACCUGUCCCUAAACUCCAGGCACCAGUCACCGUCCAGGUUGUUUCCUGUGCUUCCGACCAACCGGUUACAAAUGAGAGGUUCCAGCCACCCUGUCCCAUUUAGGACAACCAGUUGCAAGCCCAGGUUACUACCUGUGCUAGCGAAACAGGUAGCACAGCCUGAGCGGAGAGUGCGAAGUGGGGGAGAGGUACUGGAGAUGGGAGGACGAGAGGGAAGAAAUGAAAUAAUCAUGAUGACCGGCUUGGGGAAAUGUGGUGGAACUCAGGAUCCGGGCCCAGGAGGCUCCCAUAUCAGCAAAUUUCUCAUAUUUUAUGGACUGCAGGAGAAACGAAGCACCGUGGACAAGAGCUCCAUAAAGGGGAAGUGAGGUCAAGGCGAAGGCGCGGCUGUGAGAAGAGCUUUGAUCUGCCCGAGCGUCGGGACACGUGGCGGGUCAGCUCUGCGCCGGGGGCUUUGAACAAGGGCCGCCCUUGCCUGGAAAACCCGAACUCAGGAGAGAGCCUCUGCAGGGUUGAAAGGGACUCGGGAGGUGGCCACGCCCAGGCUCACUCUGCUCAGAUGAGAGACGGCAAGAGUCGGCAAAUGCAGGGCCGGAAAUCUCGGCUCAUUCGAGCCCCCUCGAGGGCCCACGAAGGUUCCAGAAGGUCGCCUGUUCUUCACAUCUCCGCGUGGGCCACCGCAAGCGAAACAGGCUUCACAGUUUCCCCACCAGACUCCUCAGCCCUCCACUGA